rnacentral:tRNA from 1 species
AUUCAUUUAGUAUAAAAAGUAUACUUAACUUCCAAUUAAAAGGUUUAUAAACUUAAAAUGAAUA